rnacentral:lncRNA from 1 species
AAAGAAUUGUCUGCAAUGGAAAUAUUAUCUUAGGAAACAAUCAAAAGUAUAUGGGUAUUCUCUUUUAAUUAUCUUUAUUUUAAAUAAUUAUAAUGAAUAUGUUAUUACUCUGAUUUACCUUUAUAUAUUGCAAUGUAAUUUUACUUUAAUUUUAUUUGUUGUUUAAAAAGGUUGUUACACUUCACAGAAUAGUUCUAGCUAUUAGUAUUACAUUCCUAAUUGCUGAUUAAAUAUUAUAUUUGUACCUUAAUUUUUAUAAAGAAUCAAAAUUGGGGUUGGGGUAUGAAUCUUUGAAAAUCAUCCUGCCUGUUGUAUGGUGUCAUAGUUCAUUGUGGCGCCUAACAGUGUCCAGCUGCCAUCUUGCAUUAUAAUUCGCAUUAACGAUGUCAUGCUUAGUUAAUCCUCUUCAGUUAUGUUAUGCUGCCCUAUAGAAGAGGUGACCAAUCAGCAAUUAGCUCAAUUUAAUUGAGAUAGGUAAAUCCUGAUCUAAUCGGAAUUUUUGAUUGAAGAUUUUAUUGUUUAUGCAUUCAGGCGUUAAUGUAGUAAUUGAAGACCAGAGAAAUAUAACUGAAUUAUUCAGAUUAAUUGUGACGUCCUGAAAAAGGUGAACAUGCCUUAUGACGUCAUGUGUAAAGAACACAACUUUCUGCAAAUCUUUGACAAAAAGCGAUAUAAAUCUAUAGAGAAACACAUUCCACCUCUCUAAUUUGUGUAUUACAAUAUUUCUCCACUCUCAACAGUUAAAUUUAAAUAUUUAAAAAGCUCGGCAAGUCUUAUGCUUUAAAUAUUAAAAUUUAACUGUCUCCAGUGGAGAAAUAUUGUAACAGACUUGUUGCAGUGAUGGAAUCUAUAUUUCUACCACUGAAUUGAGUGUGACACAAUAUUUCUUCCACUUGAGACAGUUAAAUGAAAAACAAGAGGCUUGCUGGGUAUUUUAGGUAUUUAACUGUUGAAAGCUGAGAAAUAUUAAAUUGCACUGGUGCAUUAUGUUUGUGCGCAUUACCAUUACAUUUGCACGCAGCUUUUAAUUACAAUUGCGCGCAUUUUUUUGACAGGUAAACUCAGGUAAAAUACAGGUAGUAAUAAAAAUAAUAAAAAAAUAUUAAAACAAAUGUUAAAACAAAGCUAAUCUUAAAGGUAAAAGUAUUGAUAAAUUUAUUACUUUACAUGUCGGUGCGUGCCGAAACUCCAUGUGUGUGCCUUAGUGUAACUUUACAAACUAGCUAAAAUUAUUUACUAACUUUAAAAACGAUCACUAUU